UUCCCUCUCAUCAUCCCUAGAAUAGCGUUUCCUUUUGAGAUGCUCAGGACAGGCAGACACAGGCCUCCUGUUCCCAAGAAGCAGAGAAGGGGACAUGGGGCUGCAGGGCCAACACAGGGAGAGUCUUCCUGAGUCCUCCGCCUGCCAGCUGGUCUUUGCAGCUGCGGCCAGCCCUGGAGUCAGGAGACACAGCUCCAGGGUUCUGCGGCAGCGCCUGCCCCCGUUCCUCCAAGACGGCGUUCUGGGUGCUCUGAGCAAACCUGGAUGCUGGCAGGAAGCAGCUCAGCCCUGGCCUUCACGGGAAGGGCAGGCACCCUCUCCUGACCUGGGGCUUCCCAGGCCCUCCUUUGGCACGUACUGAACUGUUUGCGGAACCAUCUAUGCCACCUCCCUCUUCCCUCCCAGGCUGAGACAGGACAGAGCCGCUCUUUGGAGCUCCUUGUCCCUGUGCAAGGCCAGGGAAGCAGAGGGCAGGGGAGGAGCUGGCAGGACCAGCGCUGCUUCGGCUUCGCAGCCUCCACCUCCAAAACCAGACAGAGCAGGAAAAUCAGACUCCAGGCCUGGGAGGGCAAUGAGUCCAAACGCCUUCCCCUUCCUGGCUCUCACCCAGAAGUCCUCCAAGAUGCCAGAGCAAGGGCUUUUCAUCUUUACUUUCCUCCUGAAACCUGAGACCCCAUGAAAUCAACAAGGAGCAAUCUAAGGAUAAACAGCCGCAGCACUUCUCAGAGAAAUUUGCACAGUGGAGGAUACUUUCCAAAGUCCUUUCACAUCGUGUACAGGAGCCCUGUGACCUAAGAAGAGCAAAUGUCUUUACCCCGUUUCUCAGGACCAGGACUGGACAGAGCAAGAAGCCCGAAAGGAAACAGGAGCAAUUGAAGGCUGGAAAGUGGCCAGAGGACAGUGAAAAUCCAGCCGGUAUGAAGGGACAGGACACCAGCAGCCCCAUGGCACGCCCUGGCAAGACAGCUAAUCCCAUUGUCCCCGGGAACUAAGUACCCACCAAAGGCAAGGCUUUGGGGGACCUAAUGGCUCCUGCCAUAGAAGAGAAUAAAGAUUACACUGAAGUCGAGACCUGCUGGGCAGGGCGGUCAUGUUAACAGCGCCACAUAGCUUAAAUGAAAAGACAAGCUCAGAAUCCAAAUUCUUGGCUCAAGGUAUGGUUAGAAAACCCGAGUGUGCCUGGCCAAAAUGGCGAAACCCCGUCUCUACUAAAAAUACAGAAAUUAGCCAGGUGUGGUGGCGGGUGCCUGUAAUCCCAGGUACUUGGGAGGCUGAGGCAGGAGAAUCGCUUAUAUCCAGGAGGCGGAGGUUACAGGGAGCUGAGAUCACACCACUGCACUCCAGCCUGGGCGACAGAGUGAGACUUUGUCUCCAAAAAAAAAAAAAAAAAACCAAAACUCGAAUGUGUUAUUUUGCAGCUGAGAGAGCAGAAAAAAACUGAAAACUUGAUCCAAUGGUUACAGAAUGACCAAGGGGACCCACACCUUAAAAGGUCUUUAUUUGGGAAAGAGUGAAAUGUGGAGACCAGAGGCUAUGAAAAUUAGGCUGUGUGGAAAGAUAGGGAAGCCUUAGGUACCUAGCCCCUCCCCUCCCCACCACCCUUGCCAGCCAAAGCUUCCUCUUUGUCACUCUGAAGAUCCUAGUAGCAGGAACUCCCUUGCGGGCAGUUAGGUGUUCUAUGUAGCUGAGGUAUGGCCUGCAGCGACGGGUGAGUCUGUUUCUACACUGCUAUAAAGAAACAUCCAAGGCUGGGUGCGGUGGCUCAUGCCUGUAAUCCCAGCACUUUGGGAGGCCGAGGUGGGCGGAUCACCUGAGGCUUGGAGCACGAGACCAGCCUGACCAACAUAAUGAAACCCCCUCUCUACUAAAAAUACAAAACUAGCUGGGUGUGGUGGUUCACGCCUGUAAUCCCAGCUACUUGGGAGGCUGAGGCAGGAGAAUAGCUUCAACCCGAGAGGCAGAGGUUGCAAAGAGCCGAGAUCACGCCAUUGCACUCCAACCUGGGCAACAAGAGCAAAUCUCCAUCUCAAAAAAACAAACACCGAGACUGGGUAACUUAUAAAGAAGUUUAAUUGACUCACAG